rnacentral:rRNA from 1 species
UACGUAGGGGGCUAGCGUUGUCCGGAAUCAUUGGGCGUAAAGAGCGUGUAGGCGGCCCGGUAAGUCCGCUGUGAAAGUCGGGGGCUCAACCCUCGAAUGCCGGUGGAUACUGUCGGGCUAGAGUGCGGAAGAGGCGAGUGGAAUUCCCGGUGUAGCGGUGAAAUGCGCAGAUAUCGGGAGGAACACCAAUUGCGAAGGCAGCUCGCUGGGACGUUACUGACGCUGAGACGCGAAAGCGUGGGGAGCAAACAGG